GACGAACGCUGGCGGCGUGCCUAAUACAUGCAAGUCGAACGCAGUGGGGACGGGUGCGUAACACGUGGGUCACCUCCCAUCAGAGGGGAUAACACUUGGAAACAGGUGCUAAACCGAUACUGAUGGAUGGACCCGCGGUGCAUUAGCUAGUUGGUGAGGUAACGGCUCACCAAGGCCACGAUGCAUAGCCGACCGGAGAGGGUGAUAGGCCAAACGGGGAAUGAGACACGGACAAGACUCCUACGGGAGGCAGCAGUAGGGAAUAUUCGGAAAUGGACGAAAGUCUGACCGAGCAACGCCGCGUGAGUGAAGAAGGUUUUCGGAUCGUAAAACUCUGUUGUUAGAGAAGCGGUAUCUAACCAGAAAGCAACGGCUAACUACGUGCCAGCAGCCGCGGUAAUUC
rnacentral:rRNA from 1 species